CCUACGGGAGGCUGCAGUAGGGAAUCUUUCACAAUGGGCGAAAGCCUGAUGGAGCAACGCCGCGUGCAGGAUGAAGGCCUUCGGGUUGUAAACUGCUUUUAUAAGCGAGAAAUAUGAUGGUAACUUAUGAAUAAGGAUCGGCUAACUACGUGCCAGCAGCCGCGGUCAUACGUAGGAUCCGAGCAUUAUCAGGAGUAACUGGGUGUAAAGAGUUGCGUAGGUGGGAUAAUAAGUAGCUAGUGAAAUCUGGUGGCUCAACCAUUCAGACUAUUAGCUAAACUGUUAAGCUCGAGACCGUUAGGGGUAACUGGAAUUUCUAGUGUAGGAGUGAAAUGCGUAGAUAUUAGAAAGAACACCGAUAGCGUAGGCAGGUUACUGGGACGGUUCUGACGCUAAGGCACGAAAGCGUAGGGAGCAAACGGGAUUAGAUACCCUAGUAGUC
rnacentral:rRNA from 1 species